rnacentral:tRNA from 1 species
AAAGAAUUAGUUAAUCUAAAUAACAUAAAUAUGUCAAAUUUAAAUUAUUACUAAAGUAAUAUUCUUUU